GCACUCACUUCAGCAGUGCAUAUACUAAAAUUGGAACAAUACAGAGAAAUUAGCAUGGCCCCUGUGCAAGGAUAACAUGUUUCCAUAUGCAUGGGUAUGCAUGUGC